rnacentral:siRNA from 1 species
CAAAGGAGGUGUUAGUUAGUC